GACGAACGCUGGCGGCGUGCCUAAUACAUGCAAGUAGAACGCUGAAGAGAGGAGCUUGCUCUUCUUGGAUGAGUUGCGAACGGGUGAGUAACGCGUAGGUAACCUGCCUUGUAGCGGGGGAUAACUAUUGGAAACGAUAGCUAAUACCGCAUAACAAUGGAUGACACAUGUCAUUUAUUUGAAAGGGGCAAUUGCUCCACUACAAGAUGGACCUGCGUUGUAUUAGCUAGUAGGUGAGGUAAUGGCUCACCUAGGCGACGAUACAUAGCCGACCUGAGAGGGUGGUCGGCCACACUGGGACUGAGACACGGCCCAGACUCCUACGGGAGGCAGCAGUAGGGAAUCUUCGGCAAUGGGGGCAACCCUGACCGAGCAACGCCGCGUGGGUGAAGAAGGUUGUCGUAUCGUAAAGCUCUGUUGUAAGUCAAGAACGGGUGUGAGAGUGGAAAGUUCACACUGUGACGGUAGCUUACCAGAAAGGGACGGCUAACUACGUG
rnacentral:rRNA from 1 species